UACGAGGGGUGCAAGCGUUGCUCGGAAUUAUUGGGCGUAAAGGGUAGGUAGGUGGUUCAGUAAGUCUGCUGUGAAAGUCCAGGGCUCAACCCUGGGAUGCCGGUGGAUACUGCUGGACUAGAGUGCGGAAGAGGCGAGUGGAAUUCCCGGUGUAGCGGUGAAAUGCGCAGAUAUCGGGAGGAACACCGAUGGCGAAGGCAGGUCUCUGGGCAUUAACUGACGCUGAGGAGCGAAAGCAUGGGGAGCGAACAGG
rnacentral:rRNA from 1 species